rnacentral:rRNA from 1 species
AAUGAACGUUGGCGGCGUGGAUUGGGCAUGCAAGUCGAGCGAGAAUCGUAGCAAUACGAGGACAGCGGCGAACGGGAGAGUAACGCGUGGACUACCUACCCCCAGGUCCGGGAUAAUGGCCGAAAGCCAGGUAAUACCGGAUGAUGUCGGAAGACCAAAGGUGUGAUUCCGCCUGGAGACGGGUCCGCGUCCUAUUAGCUUGUUGGUGGGGUAACGGCCUACCAAGGCGACGAUGGGUACUGGGUGUGAGAGCACGACCCAGCUCACUGGGACUGAGACGCUGCCCAGACACCUACGGGUGGCUGCAGUCGAGAAUCUUCGGCAAUGGACGCAAGUCUGACCGAGCGACGCCGCGUGCGGGAUGAAGGCCUUCGGGUUGUAAACCGCUGUCAGUUGGGGAAUAACGGUCGGUGGGUUCUCCCAUCGAUUUGAAUGAUCCUAGGAGGAAGGACGGGCUAAGUUCGUGCCAGCCGCCGCAGUAAGAC